UCCGUGGUCGACGUCGAGGGCGCCGUCUCCUUCCCCAAGGAGCCCCACGUAUCCACCACCCAUCAGGUUGAGAUCCAAGUGAGGAAGAACUAUUGCAUCAACAGGGCUAUCCCGACCCUUCCAUUUAACCUUGAGGAUGCAGCACGGAGCGAGGCGGAAUUUGAAAAGUCUGUAUGUCUUUUAAUUUGUAGAUCACGUCAUUUCCUUGCAUUCUGCUUAAGUUUCAAGACAUAUGUACACAUAUGUUCUUUCAAAUUCCAUACUACUCAACA